AUAACAGAAGGCAGCUCUCAAGAAAAGCAAAAACUCCAUUAAAAAUUACGCACAGGAAAUAGGUCCAAAACAUUGUCACCAAAACAAUCAAACCGAAAUUUUUUGUACAGAGGACAUACUCCAAUCAAAUGAUAGGUUUCUUCAACAGCACCUAAAUUGCAAACUGAGCAGUUUACAGAAGCGACAUUUUUAAAAGAUCUUGCAAUAAGAUUUAGCAAGCCACUCCUUGCGCGGAAAAUCAUCGUUAAAUUUUAUUUCAACAUAUACCUUGU